rnacentral:misc_RNA from 1 species
AAGUCGUAACAAGGUUUCCGUAGGUGAACCUGCGGAAGGAUCAUUAACAAGUCUGCUGUCUGUUCUUGCACUAGCGUGGAAGUCUUCUUCUGCGCCAAGUGCAAGGAUGACGUUUGCUCCAUGUGCACGUUCACUCUGCACAUGACAUUCUACGAAUCAUCUGAUUAUUGACAAUGUCCAUAAACAAAUAACUUUUAACAAUGGAUCUCUAGGCUCCU